rnacentral:rRNA from 1 species
UACAUGGGGUGCAAACGUUGCUCGGAAUUAUUGGGCGUAAAGCGCGCGUAGGCGGUUACUCAAGUCGGAUGUGAAAGCCCUCGGCUUAACUGAGGAAGUGCACCCGAAACUGAGUAGCUAGAGUACUAAAGAGGGUCGCGGAAUUCCCGGUGUAGAGGUGAAAUUCGUAGAUAUCGGGAGGAACACCAAUGGCGAAGGCAGCUCGCUGGGACGGUACUGACGCUGAGACGCGAAAGCGUGGGGAGCAAACAGG